AGACAAGAGGAGGGGUCAGGCUUCCUCUCUGUCCCUACCUAGGCUCGUCCCUCCCACUGGACUCACUUUCCUCCUCUUGGUGUCUGAACCACCCUCCCUUGGGCCUGUCUUCCCCAAGGAGACUGGCUGGGGCAAGGGAGAAGGUGUCGAGGUAUUCUCGUGGGCUGGCACCCCAUUGCCAGAGGGAACCCUGAUAUGUGUAGCCUACUCUAAAAUUGCUUUCUUUUUAGAAAGAUUGUGUUUUUUUAUUUAAGAUUUAUUUUAUUUAUUUAUGUGUAUGUGUGCAUGUGUUACCUGCAGGGGGGCAGAAGAGAGCACCAGAUGACCCGAAGCUGGAGUUACAGGCCAGAAGAGGACACCAGACCUCACUACAGAUGGUUGUGAGCCACCAUGUGGUUGCCGGGAAUUGAACUCAGGACCUUUGGAAGAGCAGGCAAUGCUCUUAACCACUGAGCCAUCUCUCCAGCCCCCUCCCACAGCCUUUGAUUGCUCAUUUGUAAAUGGGAAUAGACACCAGCACCUGUGCGCCAGGCUCUGGAGAUGUGAGUGUGUGUUAGGUCUCUCACCUUAAAACUGAACAGGCAGCCAGUGUGUAUUAGUAGCCUUCAUCAUCACCAUAACCACGGUUACUAUGGACACCAUCAUCUUCAUCAUCGCUAUCUUUGCUACAGUCAACCCCAUCCCCAUCACUACCAUGACCUAGAACUGGGAGGUCUUACACCUAAAAUCUCUUUCAGCUCUA